rnacentral:tRNA from 2 species
GGGCAUGUAGCUCAGCUGGUUAGAGCGCCACACUGAUAAUGUGGAGGUCCCAGGUUCAAUUCCUGGUAUGCCCACCC